rnacentral:rRNA from 1 species
UACGUAGGGGGCAAGCGUUGUUCGGAAUUACUGGGCGUAAAGGGCGCGUAGGCGGCACGGUAAGUCGGGAGUGAAAGCCCGGGGCUCAACCCCGGAACGUCUUUCGAAACUGCCGAGCUAGAGUGCGGAAGAGGCAACUGGAAUUCCCAGUGUAGCGGUGAAAUGCGUAGAUAUUGGGAAGAACACCUGAGGCGAAGGCGGGUUGCUGGGCCGACACUGACGCUGAGGCGCGAAAGCUAGGGGAGCAAACAGG